rnacentral:lncRNA from 1 species
GGAUGAGGAACUCGAAAGCUCAACCUCCUUUCGUAACAACUUCUUACGACCUUUCCGAAGAAUAGAAUCUCAAUCUCAUCUCUCUUAAGCCCUCCCCAGCGUUAGCUUUAUGACAUAAAGUGAUAGGGGUUGUGGCGAAACGAAACUCCUUUAGGGUUCCCGGUUGGUGCCUUGACGGCGUAACCAAUCAUUGAGUUCAGAGCUAAGUUUCUGGAUGAAAACUUAAUGGCUAUUCUACCAGAUGACGCUGGGCGGACAUA